UACGGAAGGGGCUAGCGUUGUUCGGAAUCACUGGGCGUAAAGCGCGCGUAGGCGGCCGGUCAAGUGCGGCGUGAAAGUCCUGGGCUCAACCCGGGGACGGCGCUGCGGACUGUUCGGCUGGAGUCCGGAAGAGGGUGGUGGAAUUCCGAGUGUAGAGGUGAAAUUCGUAGAUAUUCGGAGGAACACCGGUGGCGAAGGCGGCCACCUGGUCCGGUACUGACGCUCAAGCGCGGAAGCGUGGGGAGCAAACAGG
rnacentral:rRNA from 1 species